rnacentral:rRNA from 1 species
AUUGAACGCUGGCGGCAGGCCUAACACAUGCAAGUCGAGCGAGCGGCGGCCGGGUGAGUAAUGUAUGGGGACUGCCCGAUAGAGGGGGAUAACUACUGGAAACGGUAGCUAAUAACGCAUCCUAUCGGAUAACCCAUAUGGGAUUAGCUAGUAGGUGAGGUAAGGGCUCACCAAGUCGACGAUCCCUAGCUGGUCUGAGAGGAUGAUCAGCCACAAUGGGACAGCGACACGUCCCAGACUCCUACGGAGGCAGCAGUGGGGAAUAUUGCACAAUGGGCGCAAGCCUGAUGCAGCCAUGCCGCGUGUAUGAAGAAGGCCCUAGAGUUGUAAAGUACUGUCAGUCGGGAGGCGUUACCUACAGAAGAAGUACCGGCUAACUCCUUGCCAGCAGCCGCGGUAUUU